rnacentral:rRNA from 1 species
AGUGAACGCUGGCGGUAGGCCUAACACAUGCAAGUCGAACGGCGGCACAGUAAGAGCUUGCUCUUACGGGUGGCGAGUGGCGGACGGGUGAGGAAUACAUCGGAAUCUACUUUUUCGUGGGGGAUAACGUAGGGAAACUUACGCUAAUACCGCAUACGACCUACGGGUGAAAGCAGGGGAUCUUCGGACCUUGCGCGAUUGAAUGAGCCGAUGUCGGAUUAGCUAGUUGGCGGGGUAAAGGCCCACCAAGGCGACGAUCCGUAGCUGGUCUGAGAGGAUGAUCAGCCACACUGGAACUGAGACACGGUCCAGACUCCUACGGGAGGCAGCAGUGGGGAAUAUUGGACAAUGGGCGCAAGCCUGAUCCAGCCAUACCGCGUGGGUGAAGAAGGCCUUCGGGUUGUAAAGCCCUUUUGUUGGGAAAGAAAAGCAGCAGGUUAAUACCCCGCUGUUCUGACGGUACCCAAAGAAUAAACACCGGCUAACUUCGU